rnacentral:rRNA from 1 species
GACGAACGCUGGCGGCGUGCUUAACACAUGCAAGUCGAACGGAAAGGCCCUGCUUUUGUGGGGUGCUCGAGUGGCGAACGGGUGAGUAACACGUGAGUAACCUGCCCUUGACUUUGGGAUAACUUCAGGAAACUGGGGCUAAUACCGGAUAGGAGCUCCUGCUGCAUGGUGGGGGUUGGAAAGUUUCGGCGGGUGGGGAUGGACUCGCGGCUUAUCAGCUUGUUGGUGGGGUAGUGGCUUACCAAGGCUUUGACGGGUAGCCGGCCUGAGAGGGUGACCGGCAACAUUGGGACUGAGAUACGGCCCAGACUCCUACGGGAGGCAGCAGUGGGGAAUAUUGCACAAGGGGCGGAAGCCUGAUGCAGCAACGCCGCGUGCGGGAUGACGGCCUUCGGGUUGUAAACCGCUUUCGCCUGUGACGAAGAGUGAGUGACGGUAAUGGGUAAAGAAGCACCGGCUAACUACGUG